UCAAACGCGUCGAUGCGUUGGCGGUCGG
rnacentral:piRNA from 1 species